CAGUCGCCGCGGGAAUACGAAGGGGGCUAGCGUUGUUCGGAAUCACUGGGCGUAAAGCGCACGUAGGCGGAUUGUUAAGUCAGGGGUGAAAUCCCGAGGCUCAACCUCGGAACUGCCUUUGAUACUGGAGAUCUUGAGUUCGGAAGAGGUUGGUGGAACAGCUAGUGUAGAGGUGAAAUUCGUAGAUAUUAGCUAGAACACCAGUGGCGAAGGCGGCCAACUGGUCCGACACUGACGCUGAGGUGCGAAAGCGUGGGGAGCAAACAGGAUUAGAUACCCCUGUAGUCCCUGUCUCUUAUAU
rnacentral:rRNA from 1 species